rnacentral:rRNA from 1 species
UACGUAGGGACCGAGCGUUGUCCGGAAUCAUUGGGCGUAAAGAGCGUGUAGGCGGCCACUUAAGUCCUGCGUGAAAUCUUGCGGCUCAACCGCAAGCGGUCGUGGGAAACUGGGUGGCUAGAGUGCGGGAGAGGAGAGUGGAAUUCCUGGUGUAGCGGUGGAAUGCGCAGAUAUCAGGAGGAACACCGGUGGCGAAGGCGCACAUCUGGCCCAAUACUGACGCUGAAGCGCGAAAGCUAGGGGAGCAAACGGG